rnacentral:rRNA from 1 species
UACGAAGGGGGCUAGCGUUGUUCGGAAUUACUGGGCGUAAAGCGCACGUAGGCGGAUAUUUAGGUCAGGGGUGAAAUCCCAGAGCUCAACUCUGGAACUGCCUUUGAUACUGGGUAUCUUGAGUAUGGAAGAGGUGAGUGGAAUUCCGAGUGUAGAGGUGAAAUUCGUAGAUAUUCGGAGGAACACCAGUGGCGAAGGCGGCUCACUGGUCCAUUACUGACGCUGAGGUGCGAAAGCGUGGGGAGCAAACAGG